CUUCUAAAAAGAGCGACGGGCGAUUUGUGCAUACUUAUUUCCGUUUUUCAAUACAAAUUUUUAUUUGUUAGCUUUGGUUAUAAGUCCUUUUUUAGGUUUAUUUCUUUUCUCAUCCAAUCUUCUCAUUUGUAUCCCAUAAUCCGUCUCACCUAUAUGCUCUGUCUUGAUUUGUUUUUUUAUCUUUCAAUAGAAUUAAAGUUUUUCUUUAAAAUUCUUUUUCAAACAAUGAUAUAGGAGCUAAAAAGAUGUAAGUUUACUUUAACGUGGUUUAUCUAUUACGUAACAGGAUCCCCUAUUAAGAUUAAGUACCGCCAUCUUUUUCUAACUUUUGUUUAUAUAACUACUUUUUUCUUUAUGCUAUAAAA
rnacentral:rRNA from 1 species